rnacentral:tRNA from 1 species
GAAGGGACGUCUGUUGAGGUGCUAAGUUGUAACCUUAGUUAUGGAAUAUUUUCUUUCCUUUA